UUGACCUCAAAUCGGGUGAGACUACCCGCUGAACUUAAGCAUAUCAAUAAGCGGAGGAAAAGAAACUAACAAGGAUUCCCCUAGUAACUGCGAGUGAAGCGGGAAAAGCUCAAAUUUAAAAUCUGGCGGUCUUUGGCUGUCCGAGUUGUAAUUUAGAGAAGCGUCUUCCGCG
rnacentral:rRNA from 1 species